CCCCCCCUCUCAACGGACGCCCCCUGGCGUCCUAGCGGAGGCAGCCUCAAAUUCCCUGAUCAGGGCAGGAUCCUCGAUGUAGGACCCCGGGAUCCACGAGCGCUCCUCAGGUCCAUACCCCUCCCAGUCCACGAGGUACUGGAUACCACGACCCUGACGACAGGAGUCCAGUAUCUUCUUUACCGUGUAAACAAGGCCCCCUUUGUAGAGACGAGCAGGAGGAGGAGGUGGAGGAGUGGGACAGAGAGCGCUAGAGACCACAGGCUUAACCAAAGAAACAUGAAAAAUGGGGUGCACACGGAGGGAGGAAGGAAGGUCUAAGGUCCAGACGGACCGUGGUAGGAAAGGGUACGGCGGUGAUCUAAAGAGGCCCAAUAAAUCGAGGGGACAACUUGCGGGAGGACGCCUUAAGAGGAAUGUCUUUGGAAGAUAACCAAACUGACUGACCUGGGUUGUAGACGGGAGCAGGGCGGCGAUGGAGAUCAGCAAGCUAUUUAUUGCACUGUGCAGUGCGGUCCAGGGUGGCCUUGGUGGAAGCCCAAGCCUGUUUAGCACCUCGAAGGAACUGAGGAAUGGACGAUGACACUGGGGACUGUUGAGGAAAAAGAGAUGGCUGGUAGCCUAGGGAGGCUUCAAAAGGAGACUGACCGGUAGCAGAUGAGAUGUGGCUGUUCUCCACCCAGGGUAGGUGGGAGCUACAGGUGGCAGGGUGAGACGAACAGACACAACUUAGCAUGGAAUCCAGCUCCUGGUUCAUACGCUCACACUGCCAAUUUGUUUGCGGGUGAUAUCCGGAUGUGAGAGCGACCUGGGCUCCAAGGGACUCAGCGAACUCCUUCCAAAGGUGGGAAAUGAACUGUGGACCUCUAUCAGAAAGGAUUUCUUCGGGGAUGCCAUGAAGAUGGAAAACAUGCUUUAUAAGGAGUUGUGCUGUGACUGUGGAAGAAGGCUUAGAUUUUAGAGGAACCAAAUGACAGGCCUUGGAAAAACGGUCUACUAUGGUGAGAAUAGUGUUAAAACCAUGAGAGUUAGGAAGUCCACAAACAAAAUCCAACGCUAUGUGGGACCAGUGGCGAGAAGGGACUGGCAGUGGUUGCAAUAACCCGGCUGGUGGGCGAUGAUCUCCCUUAUGUUGGGAACACACGUGGCAACCCGAGACAUAAUCCUUAGUGUCUUUAUACAGGGAAGGCCACCAAAAUGUUCGUUGAAGCAGAGCUAUAGUCCUUCCCACCCCCGGGUGUAGAGAGAAUCUGCCUGUGUGUGCCCAGUGAAUGACUUUACCUCUAAGAUGUUGAGGAACAGUCAGUUUCGAGGUCCGUUACUGGGCCCAGGAUCUGUUUUAAGAGCCUCCAAAACUUAGUCUCGGAUUUCCCAGGUGAUAGCACUGAUGAUAAAGCUGGGAAGAAGGAUGGAGGCAGGUUCUGAGUCCGUGUCGGGAGCGUACUGUCUGGACAGAGCAUCAGGUUUAACAUUCUUAGGACCUGGAUGGUACGAGAUUUGGAAGUUGAAUCUGGAGAAGAGGAGUGACCAUCGAUAUUGUCGCGGGUUGAGUUGCUUUGCUUCUUUCAGAUAGACUAGGUUUUUGUGAUCUGUCCAUAUAAUAAAAGGUGUCUCCGCUCCCUCCAACCAAUGCCUCCACUCUUCAAUAGCAAGUUUAAAUGCCAGGAGCUCACGAUCUCCCACAUCAUACCUGCUUUCUGCUGGUGUCAGGCGACGAGAAUAAAAUGCGCAGGGAUGGAGUCUGUUAUCUUCUUUUGCCACUUGAUAGUACUGCCCCAACACCAGUAUCUGACACAUCUACUUCCAGAACGAAUUGUCGUUCUGGGUCUGGACGAUGGAGUACUGGUGCAUUAGUGAACUUGCUCUUUAAUAACCCGAAAGACCUUUCUGCUUCUGUGGACCAAACAAAGGGUUUGUUAAUGGAUGUCAGCCUGGUUAGGGGAGCAGCUGUUUGGCUGUAGUUUCGUAUGAAUCGGCGGUAAAAGUUGGCAAAACUGAGGACCGUUGGAGCCUUUUUCUGGUCGAAGGAGUGGGCCAAUCUGUGACUGCUUUGACCUUUUCAGGAUCCGCUCUCAGCCGCCCGCUCUCAAUGACAAAGCCCAGGAACUUCACUGUUGAUACAUGGAACUCACACUUUUCUGCUUUGACAUAAAGACGGUUUUCAAGCAGGCGUUGUAAAAUGGCUCUUACAUGUUAGAUAUGUUGUGUAGGGUCUUUGGAGAAAAUAAGGAUGUCGUCGAGAUAAACGGUAACAAAACGAUUUAGAAAAUCACCCAGAACAGAAUUAACUAAAGAUUGGAAAACGGCUGGGGCGUUAGUCCGAAUGGCAUGACUAGGUAUUCAUAGUGUCCAAUAGGAGUUUUGAAUGCGGUCUUCCACUCAUCUCCCUCACGGAUUCUCACUAGAUGAUAGGCGUUUCUUAAGUCCAAACGGCUAAAAAUGGAUGCGUCUUGUAUGGGUUCAAACGUGGAUGAAAGAAGUGGAAGUGGGCAUUUAUUGCGAACAGUGAUUUGGUUUAACCCUCUGUAAUCAAUACAAGGUCUGAGGGGUCCCUCCUUUUUUUGGGACAAAAAAAGAAACCUGCACCCAAUGGAGACAAAGAGGGGCGAAUGAUACCUGCAGCCAGGCAUUCAUGUAUGUAUUUCUCCAUGCUCUCACGCUCGGGCUUGGAGAGGUUAUACAGUCGGCUUGAAGGUAAUGGGGCCCCCGGCAGGAGAUCUAUGGUACAGUCAAAAGGCCUGUGUGGAGGCAGAGAAGAGGCACGGUCUUUGCUGAAUACCUGGCAGAGGUCAUGAUAGACGUGGGGAACUGUUGUAAGAUCAAUCUCCUCUGGGGGCGUCAGUGGUGAAGGUGGACCAACAGGUAGAGCUGAACGAAGACAACUCUGAGAGCAGUCAGGACUCCAACCCAGUAUCUUAUUUCUUUUCCAGUCCAUUGAUGGGUUAUGUUGCAGCAGCCAGGAGUGACCCAGAACCACUGGCGACUGAGGAGAGGGGAACACAAAGAAACUGAUCAUCUCCGAGUGGUUACCUGACACCAUGAGCCGUGAAGGGAUGGUUUGGCUGGUAAUGGUGGUGAGAGACUUGUUGUCCAAAGAUGAAACAGAGAGGGGAGUAGGAAGUCUGGUGGUGGGAAUCUUCCACCUUUCCACGACUCUUUCAUCCAAGAGGGAUUGCUCGCAUCCAGAGUCCAAAAGUGCUUCGAGCGUCACAGGUCUAGAAUCAAUAGACAACAAACAUGAGAAAAAACGCCGGGAACCAGAAUUUGAAUCUCCACCCACCAGUAGUCCCAGCUUUACUGGCGGGCUCCCCCUUUUGGCAAUUUAGGGCAGUUACUCACGAAAUGUCCUGCCGUUCUAUAGUACAUACAAAGCCUUUGUUUCUGGCGGUGCUCUCUCUCUUCCUGUGUUAGACGGGUUCUUCCCAUCUGCAUGGGUUCGUCAGUAACAGGUUGUGGGUGAGGAGGAGGAACUCGGUCUUGCUCAUGGGCUGCGGCUGCUACUGGUAAGGGGGCGUGUCUGCUGAGCUCCCAUUGACGCUUAUCAAUGGAGAUGGUAAGUCUUAUAAGUUCCUCCAGGGAACUUGGUUCUGGACACAAGGCUAGCUGGUCCCUCACCUUGUUGCUCAGGGAGUUAGUAAACACGCCUAUAAGAGUGUCCUCAUUCCAGUUGGUCCUUGCUGCGAGAAUACGGAAAUCCACAGCCAGGUCCGCCACAGAUCUUUUCCCCUGGGUGAGAGCCAAGAGCUUCUUCCAGAUAUCUGAAAGUGACUCAUGUCCACCAAAUGAAAGCUUAAAAUCCGAAAGAAACACAUCAUAAGGUCCUUGCAAAAAAGAGUCAUGACUUUUAGCUUCAGCCCACUUAAGCGCUCGUCCUCUUAACAGUCCCACUAUAUACGAGAUCUUGGCCGAAUCAGAUACAAAAGCCGAAGGACAGCGUUCAAACUCUAGUUUACAUUGCAGCAGGAAGCUGUUACUGUCAUCAAACUCACCAUGAAAAGUUUCUGUCUGAGGUGAGGGUGCCACACGAAAAUGGUUUCUCUCCCAUGGAGAGGCUUGCUCCUGUCUAGCAGGAUUUUCAGAUAGGGCGGCAGCUGACGGUGGUACUGAUGGCUGUGGAUUCUGAUUUGUUUGGGAGAGGGUUUCAUGUAUUUGACGAAUGAGGGUUUCCAGUUGUUGAUAUCACUGGUUAGCUGCGGAGAGUUGUUCCAUUACCAGGGGUAGGUUCUGUUCCUGUUGGCUUAAACGUUGUGACAAAUUAGAUAAUGCUGAUUCUGCUGGGUUCGAAUGUUGGCCGGAUGAUUCUGUCAUAGUCUGAGGUAUUUGCUUAACCCAAGACAAGCAGAAUCAGAGAUCGGAGACAGGUUUGAUAGUAAAAGGUAAAAUGAUAUUUAUUUAAUAGGAAAACUAAGGGCGCACUGAAGUCCAGUGGAUAUCCAAAUCAGGAAGCGGUGUCUACAGGAAAACAGAGGUGAGUAUGGGUCUUGUAGUUCCGGGAGAUUUUAUUUGUAGGCGGACUUACUAUGCGGAAGAAGAGUUGUUGUUUGGAGGGGGAGUGAGCCGGGGUGAUAUCCAAGAUGGGGAAGCAGUCCAAGAUGAAGGUGAGUCGGAGAGUGAGCGAGGAUAUUGAUCCGGAGAGGGAGCGUGAGCGAGGUGGAGAGCGGGUCGGCAGGCGGAGGAGACAAACAGGAUCGAACCAGAGAUUUCCUUCCAGGAGCAGAGAGAGUUAUCCAAGAAUCCAGGAACCCGAGGUGAGUAUCAAAACAUCACUUGAGCGAAUAAUCCAGAGUCAAAAAUGCAAAACUGUAAGAGCAAACAGAGUAAAAACUCGGGAGGGCAAGCAACUACCAGUUAACGGCAAUCAUCCGGCGUCGUAGUCUGGUCUUCCUCCUCCUUAUAAAGCCGGCCCGCUGAUGAGAAACAGCUGUUGCUCCCUCUCCUGCAAUCAAAGCUCAAAGGUGGUGAAUGAUGAGACGAGUACUCACCCCGGCUCAUGACAAAGAUGACCUCUCAGCAAUCUUCACCGCAGUGGGAGUAAUGAGGAGUACUUCGAAUGGACCUCUGGCUGCCCCAUCUGUUUCGCUUCAGCACCUUCAUCAGAACCCAAAUUCCUGGUUUCACGACCUGUGGUGAAAAAGCACAAGAAAAUUCUGGGAGAUCACUGUUGAUUUGGAAUUGUUUUCAGCAACAAUCAUCUAAUAUUUCAGGUAAUUCCAUCCAGGCAGUGUAAUAAUGCGAGGAAAUUGUUAUCAGCCUCCCCUCCUCUUGAGGCAUGAGGCAACUCAGGGCUCACCAGAAAAAAAAACAUAAACAAAAGGGUCCGAUACUGGCAAGCAUUGCGCCAACCCGAUGUUAAAAGUGGACCUCACAUACACGUGAAAAACACCCAUCCCAAGGAACUUGCAAUUACUAGUUCACGUCAGCAAGGGGCAGAGUCGUUCAACACAGUGUGCAUAAAACAACAAAACAAACCAAAACAAACUAAACAACUAACAAAAAGCCAUAAUCUGUGAUUUAAAUCACCUAGGGGUAACAGGAGAAAUGGUAGAAAAAAAACUGAUUGCAAAAUUGUAAUCCAAUGAAAUCAAAAAGAAUCAACCCGUCAGGGAAAAACAGUGAGCUUGUCAACACCCCCAAGCUCAUAUCAAUAAUUUAUUAUUUUAUCAUAGACUCUAUGUCUUUGCUCUCAUUAUUCCAGAAACUUUCACCUCUAGUGACUUCUUAAUUUAAUCUCAUUGCUUCUAACACUGGAAUUAACUAACAACAAAACCAGUCCUAAUUAUAAAAAUAAUAUUUCAACUUCACAUAGAUUCAGCAGGGUAAGGUUACUUCAGAGAACAUCAACAAUGUACAAUGUCACUCAAAAAUUCUACUCAAUGUGUAUAAUUUGUCAACAGGAGAUAAAUACCGCUAAAUUAAAGCUCCAUUAGUGAAAUCGGACAGCAGAAGUAUCUAAGGAAAAUAAAACGGUACGUUAAAUAGAACAACAGAUUUAUCCAAGGAAAAUAAAACUCAUCUAUCACAUAGAGACAGUGACCGAUCAAAAAUAAAACAACUGAUGGUGUUCUUAGAUACACACAACCAUAAAGGUGUUUGAAAAGAAGGUAACUGUUUCAGGAAGGGAAAAGACGUUCUAAUCAAAAGAAAAGAACAAACCAAGAAAUAAUUCAGAAUUUACAAAAGUGUACUUUGUAUAAAAUGGUUAUACUCAGCAGGCAUACGGCCGACCUUCCGUUGAAAUAUAGUUGAAAUAUGGUUGAAAUUAUGACGGUUGUAAUCUCAAUGGUGAAACAACGGUAAAACAACACUGAAUGCCCAACAAUUACAUUUAUGUCAGUGUAUCAUUGAACGUCAACGUUGGAAUAUGGUUGGAUUAUAAACUAUAGUGAUUGUUUCAACAUUAAAACAACAGUUGUACAUGACUGAGCAAAGAAAAGAUAAUUGGCUCGGAACACACUUUGAAAGCCAACUGAGCCGACCUAUAAGUGAAAGUGCAGAAAAUGAUACUUUCCGAUCUAGGUUGGUUUAGUGGUGAUUUCUUGGCCACUGGCCCCACCCACCAGUUCCCCACGACCGAGAUGCACUUCUGAGUAUAUAGCGCUAGGUGGCAGUCUGCAUGUUUUUUACGUUAGUCUGCAGAGGAAGAAGAAGAAAACUAAAACGAAGAAGAGCUGCAUGAAGGAUAAAAGGAGCAGGGGACGGAGUCGAAGCAGAACACUGAGAAGAAGCAGGACCAGAGGUGUGUGUGGCUACAACGUUUGAAGGUCAUUUAAGUUUUUAAUUUUCUCAAAAACCAACUGUGAACCUUAUUUAUGACUUUAAACUACGGAGCCGCAUAACAUUACAGCUAUUCGGGGAAACAAAUAACCGAAACUGAUUUCAAAUUGGACGAAAAAGGCUAAACGAGCAGGAAUCCAGGUGAGAUUAAGGCUUCUUUUGAAGCAUACAGUAGUAAACAUCGAUCAUUCAGCUCCUUGUUCUUUGUUUGGCAACCUGAGAGCCACUUCCGCAUUCCCGCCAUGUCGCGAUGCAGCAGGGUUUCUCCGUCCAUGUUUCCUAGGUCUGUUUUUUCUCAUUCUUCAGAUGUUUCUCCUUCUGUUACCUCCAUGAGUGAUUUUUGCAAACAUAAUCCUGCUAACUCGUGUCCACUAACUCCAGCUGUUUCUGCAGUUUCUGAUUCCUCCACCUCACUCAGCAUGGCUCUAUUAAACACCCACUCCAAUAACAUUAAGUCCUUCCUGUUUAAUGAUCUAAUUCUCUCUAAAAACCUGGAUUUUCUGUUUUUGACUGAAGUUUGGCAGCAAACAUCUCAUUAUUCUGGUGUGAUUGAACUCUGCCCGAGUGUAUUCUUUCAUAGCCUGUCACAGGGUUCUGGUCGAAGUUGGCCUGUGUACAACAAAUAGUAGCAAUCAAAGAAGAUUUUGGUGAUGCAGAGUGUUCCAAAGCCACUGAGACUGAAGACAUGUGUGACCUGGAUGGCCACAGCAGCAGUGAAAGUUGUUUAACAGAAACAGACACCUUACCAGUAGAAUCCUGUGAUUUAAGGAAUUAUUUGGCUAAGUGGGCUGCUCGCAAUAAGGCAACACGAGCAUCUGCUGAUGAGCUCCUUGUUGUCUUACGAAAACACGGACAUUCGCUGCCUAUAGAUGCAAGAACACUAUUACAAACUCCUCACCAAAUCAAUGCAAAGAAAUUAUGUGGUGGCCAUUAUCUGUAUUUUGGUCUAGAACCAGGAAUUCUGAAAAUAUGUUCACAGUUUCCAGAUGAAUUCCUUAGAGACGGUUGUGAUGAUUUCCCUCCUCUUCCCUGUGUACCCAACAAGUUAAAUAUUGUACAGUCUGGUAAGUGAUCAUGUUAAACAUUUUAUUUUUGUUACUGUACGGCAUAUUUAAAUAUGGUUCAUGAAAGUUUGGUAGAGCUUUGCUUACUUUGUCUUUCCUAUAGACAAAAUUGGAUUAGAUGAAAGAUACGAACAAAGCCAAAGAGAGUCCCUCUCUGGCAGCCAACAGAAAACUCCCAGCCACUCCUGCUCUCAAAGCCAACGACCAUUAAGCCCCAGCCGCCUCCUCUCUCGAAGUCAACGACCAUUAAGCCCCAGCCGCACUCGCUCUCGAAGCCGACAACCAAACCCCCAGCCGCUCUCGCUCUCGAAGCCGACGACAAAGCCCCAGAUGCUCCUGUUCUUGAAGCUGACGACCAAGACCCAGCUCUCCUGUUCUGAAAGCAGAUGACAAAGCCCCAACCACUCCUGAAGCCAACAACAAUCAACUCCAAGCCUCUCCCGCCAUCGAAGCCUACAUCCAAGCCCCAGCCACUUCCUUUCUCACAGCCAACAACCAAGCCCCAGCCACUUCCUUUCUCACAGCCAACAACCAAGCCCCAGCCACUCCAGCUCUCGCAGUUCUUCUAACUCCUCCAACUUCCCUUUGUCAGAAGAAAAAUUCCAGAAGAAAGUGCUUCAGCUGCUCAUUGAAAUGCUUGAUUCUGGAAGAACAGAUCUCGGAAUGACACAUGGCACAGCAGUGCAAUUCAAGCCCGCAGACACCCAGAUGGAUUUCAGGGAACUGGAGAGUCGUCUCAAAAACGAGCAAGGGAGAGCAGCCUUUGAAACUGACAAAUUCAAUGAUGGCACAAAUUAACCUGAAGGGGAGGUGUGGGAAAAUAGCCUUUUCUGAGUGUCUUUGCUCUUCCUGAUCAUCUGUGAUGCUGUUGCCACCACACACCAGAUGACCCAGACACAAGUAAUGGAGAUUGUGUCUAAAUAUUUGAAAUAUGCACCAGAGAGUGUGGGUGGUGGUGGCCAAAAAAAAAUACCUCCCUCCCUUGAGUGACUAGUUCUGUUUUUAUUUUAAAAAAAAAACAUUUUUUUACUUUUUUUUUUAUUUUUACUUUUUUGAUUGCUAUUUCAAUUGAAUAACAAUUGUUAUUCCUUGUUGUUAUAAAUAAACAGUUUGUUUUCUUUUAAUUGACUAUUUCUUUAUUUGCCUGAUGGCAUUUAUUCUGUGUCAAUCAAUAUUGCACACAGCUAUGAUGGAUAAAGUAAAUCAUAUGAAUGUGUAAAAAUGUAGAAGUCAGUUGGGUAUGGUGGUAAGUGUUGAAAUUGUGUUGGAAAAUCAACAUUAAUUAAACAAUGAAAAGGCCUUGUGAUAUCAACAUUGAAUCAAUGCUGGAUUUGGUUUUGAUUUUGAAAGGUGAAUCAACAUUGAUAUCCCGAUGUUGGAACAUCGGUCUUCUUUAAAACAAAGAUGUUGUUCUUCGCCCCGGAGUCCUGGUCAUCAAACUCCCAUCCCAGGUGGUCUUCUUGAAGGAUGCAAACAGACGAUUGCAGCUUCUGCUUUUUCUCUUCAUCCAGUCGACCACCUCCAAGCCCUUGUUCCCCGCAAUUUUUUCCAUGGAUUAAAAGUGUGCUGCGUAUCUUUGUCUUGCUUUAGUGAAGUGUUUCGUAUAUGUUCACAAUGUCUGACGACUUCUGUGAGAUGUUCUUUGAUCUGCUUCAUGGCUGUCUAUAGAUAUCUUUAUGUGGGUGGGGUAGACAAAUAGGAAGUGGCAUACUGACCUUUCUGUUGCUUUCAACGCACAGUUAAAAACAUUGUGCAUGUCUCCAUCACACUCCACAGGCCUUCCUCGGAGCCCUUGCAUCGAUUCAUUUUGGCAUUGCGUCUCUUUAUUACCAAACUAAUGGAGAAGUAUAAACCAGGCUUUACACCCCAACUGACUCAGCAGCAUUGAGGCGGAUUGAAAGUGUUGAGUCAGGGACGAAAUUUUGAUUUCAGAAGUGGGGGGGACACAGCAGGCUUGUGCGGAUUUGGGGUGGGGGGUGUUAUGUAAAGACCCCUUGACACGUCACGUGCCCAUCUCAAUAAUUUUUCCAUCCUCUCUCUCUAUAUAUAUAUAUAUAUAUCAAAGUUAAAAAAUGUACAACUCUAUUAUUAUUUUUAUUUAUUAUCAUUAUUGAAGUGCAGUUUUGGCUGUUGACAAUGGAUAGGCCAUUGUAUUUAUUGUUUUGGGUCUUUUUUAUUGUUUUUGGUGCAACAUUUUCUAACAGGGAGUGAGAUUCCUUUUUUAUUCAAUUUUUGUUUGUUAUUUUUAUUCAUUUAGAAGUUCUGGUUCUGGACAUUUCAAUGUUAAAUGAAGGUUUAUUUGUUGCAUUUUAAAGGGUGUACUUGCAUUAUUAUGAUAUAUUAACAUUAUAUUAGUGGUUAUUUUGGUCUAGAUAAUGUUGACAAUAUCGUUUAUCAUCAACAAUUUGUUGGACAAAAUAUCGUCCAGCAAAAUUUGUUACAUUCCCAGGCCUAGUCAAAAGUAUAAAAAUUAUUUAUACAUAAACGGUCCCUCCUGAGAUCUGGCCGUUUGUUCAUUUGCUGUGUUAGAGGACAUGCUGAACUAAUGUUUUACACAUGAUCAUCACCCUAACAUUUGAGUGUAUAAAAACAUAUUAAAUAUGUUUUUUCCCUUAAAAGUGUUUAAACAGUUGUUGCAUUUCAACACACAAAAAAUAAAUGGAAAAAAUAAGAUAAAUCUAAUGAAAAGUGUACAUCUUUGACAUUAAGCUUAAAAAAAUCUGUUGACGAUGAUGAUACUGUUCAUUUUUCAGAGCUUUUUAAUGUGAACAUAUACAUUGCAAUAGAUAAGUUUACAAUAAAGUUAAAUGAUAAAAGUUUUGAAGUUACACUUCUACUACUACUAGUAAUAAUAAUUAUGAUGAUAAUAGUAAUAAAAAAAUAAUUAUUAUAAUAAUACGAAUAAAUUGUGUCUGAGGAGUCAGUUAUGUGGAGGAGAUGAGUUUGUAAAAGUUAGUUUUGAGUAUGUGUGUGAAGGAGGAGGUGAGUCUGAGCUUAAUGCAGGGGUGUCACAUGUCCAACUUACGUUUAGACUUUGAAAGAAGUCUCUUAUAUCCACUUUUUGUUUUCUUGACAUGCUGCCUCCUGGCUGUGCCUAACUACCAAAGACUCACAAAUGAACACUUAUUCAAAUGUUAUGUAAUGAAAGCUGAGCUGAGCUCUGAUAGUACACAGCGUCUAGUUGACGAUGUGACUCAGUACCGGUGUUCCCUAGCGGCUCCAAACUAGCAAAACAACGUGAGCACGUUCGGACUUUUUCCAACUUGAGUGACAGCAGCAACAGCCAAUAAUACGUUAGCAAGUAUCAGCAGAGCCAAUAGAUUAGCUUUUGGGCGGGUCUAAUUGUAAACCGGUUUCCGUUUCGGUCCUAGUGCUCAACCAAAUCCAUUUAAUGGAGCGUUUUUGGACGGAAAAAAGUGCAGGGGACCAAAACUGCCUUUUGAAAAAGUGGGGGGGACAUGUCCCACCCGUCCCCCCCCAAAAUUACGUCCCAGUGUUGAGUUGCCACUUUUCAUGUGAGAAGAAAUUCCAGUAAUGGUUUGUAGUCUGAGGCCUUCAGAGUUGUCCUGUCUGUGUUGCCUUCAACACAUCUUUUAAUCUUGUAAAUCCCUGGGACUUAUUUUGUGAGAUCUGAUCAAAAAAGACCUAAAAUGUUGUUGUUUUUAUAGUGCAGUACCGCUGUUUACUGAGUUAGAGGUCAAGCGUACUGUCUGUUAAAGGGAAAUGAAACGCUCAUUGUUCCUGUAUCGGCUUCUUUAGAGUCAGAACACUUUUUCAAGUACAAGUACAAACAUGUGAUGUUGGCCCGAUACUUGGUGAUGGUAAAGGGUAAGAAUUCUGUGUUAACACAGCCCCUUUAAGGAUUCUACAACUCCCCAAAGUACCUUACAACACAGUCCCUCAUCUACACACAUUCACACACACACACACACACACUCACUGAGCUACAUUGUAGCCACAGCUGCCCUGGGGCUCACUGACAGAAGCAAGGCUGUCGUCAUACACUAGUGCCACCAGUCUCUCAGAACAUCACUAGCAGGAAAGGCAGAUGAUGUGUCUAGCCCAAGGAUAUGACUGCAACAGACUGUGCAGGGCUUCAACGGGGUGGGCAUUUAAAUCCUCUGCCACUUUUGCCCUUCAAAGAAAACAUUGGUAUCUGAACAUCCCUGAUAAUAAUUAUUUUUUGGGGUUGCUUGGAACAAAUACACAAAACAUGUAUUCAAUAAAACAAGACAAAUAGAGGAAUAAUAUUUGACUCUUAAUGGAGCAAAAUUAUUGAUUAAAUCCUUAGAUUGGGCUCAGGCUCAAGGCAUUAAAGCAAAGUCCCAGUCUUCUAAAACAGGAUUUAAACAUUUAUAUGUUUACAAAAUGGUGAUUGUAGCAAAGUGUGACUCUUGAAAAGAGAUUCAGAACUAACCUUGUUUUCAGUACCAAGAAUAUAAACACCUUAACAAACCUCACCUGCAGGUAGAACAAGGUUUCUGCUGUCAUAUUUCUGUUUGCUGAAGACAUCAGAGAUCAGUCUGAACAGUUUACAAAUUGUGUGUGUGGAAAUGCACAAGUGAUAACCCAUCAGCGUGCACAGAUUGUAUUGUCAUGUGCUGGAAUUAUGAAUUCAUUUACACAUUUAUAGUAAAACCUGCCGGUUCAUAUUUAUUCAUGCUUUGAUUCCAUGCUGACUUGAUAUGAGUUCUGCCCUUAAAGGAUUUCUGCACUUCUGCACUUACAGCUGACACCAACCUCACACAGAAUCUUAAGAAAUGUACGCAGACAGGGAACAACAUGUCCUGUCUCUGUCACUGCAACGUCACGUCUGCCACAACGAUGUGCAGCUUAACCCAUCUUCUGCUAGAAAACACUAUCUGUUGGACAAAAUGGAGAAAAAUAAAUAAAUGAUCUGAGGCAAGGUUUUCAAAUUGAACUUGAAACUGAAAUUGAAGAAUGAUGUUUGGAGACUUUGUCAGCUUUUCAUUGCUGGAAAAUAAUCCAUGUCUCUAAAUUUUUUCUGACUUCUCCUAAAAUGUUCAGUAAAUAGUAUUAAAGUGAGCCUAUAUAAAAGGACUAAUGUAUUAAUUACUCCUGAUGUAAAGAAUGACAAGGAAGCAUAUAUGUGUGUGUGUGUGCGUGUG